rnacentral:lncRNA from 1 species
GGGGUCUCACUAUGUUGCCCAGGCUAGUGUUGAACAGCCUGUUGAACAGCUAGUGUUGAACAGAGGUAUCUUUUUUUUUUUUUUUUUUUUUUUUUUGAGACAGAGUCUUGCUCUCUGGCCUAGGCUGGAGUGCAGUGGUACAAUCUUGGCUCACUGCAACCUCUGACUCCUGGGUUCAAGCAAUUCUCCUUGCUUCAGCCUCCUGAAUAGCUGGGAUUACAGGCAUGUGCCACCAUGCCCAACUAAUGUUUGUAUUUUUAGUAGAGAUGGGGUUUCCCCAUCAUGGCCAGGCUGGUCUCAAACUCCUGGCCUCAAGUGAUCCACCCACCUCAGCUCCCAAAGUGCUGGGAUUACAGGUAUGAGCCAUCACGCCUGGCCUGAUGUAUCUUCUUUGGUCACUUUUUCCUCCUCCUUUCACUCUAGUCAUAACAUGGCACGGAAGUACAUGCAGUUUAGACAUUUGUUGCACUCAAUGAACAAAUCUUUGUUGUUUAUUUUAAAAUUCAAGACAAUUUUUUUGCAAAUGCUGAUUCAAAACGUACCAAUCCCCAUCUAUCAUGCCUAUGCCAAUACAAUCUGUCACAAAAAAGUUUGCUUCUCAUUGUCACAUAGCUAUGGGGACUGGUGGCCUUCUAAAAUCACUGUCCAGCUGCUGCAAGUGUGAGAAGCGGUAAGCUAGAGGAGACAGACGGCGUUGCCAUUAAAAACAAUUCAACUUCAUUUUAAUGUUGCUAUGUAAGUUCACAAUAAAAUCCCUGGAAGUUCAAAUUGGAAAGAGCAGUUUGGGGUCAUGGGCUCAACAAUAUAAAGGCAGAUUCAGUGAGGGGUAAGGGUAGUGGCUCUGGGGGCAGACUGACCUAGAUUUGAAUGCCAGUUGUACCAGACUCAAGACACCUUGGGUAAGUGGUUUUAUGAAGUACCUCAGUUCUUCAUCAGUAGAAAGAGUGCUAACACCUCCAUAAGACUUUUGUAUGGAUUGAGUAAGAUAAUGCAUGUUAAACCACUUGUAUAGUUUCUGGCUAACUGUAAACAAGAUGUUCUAGAAGUUCUAGUUAUCUUUUUUUUUUUUUUUUUUUUUUUUUUUUUAAGAGUCAGGUUCUCACUGUGCCACCAAGGUUGUAGUGCCGUGGUGUAAUCAUGGCUCAUUGCAGCCUUGAACUUCUGGGCUCAAGUGAUCCUCCCACCUCAACCUCCUGAGUAGCUGGGAAUACAGGCAUGCACCACCAUGCCUAAUUUUUUAGAGAUGGGGUCUUGCUAUAUUGCCCAGUCUGGCCUCAAGUAAUCCUCCUGCCUCAGCUUUCUGAAUUGCUGGGAUUAUCGGCAUGAGCCACUGUGCCCAGCUAAGCUGUGACUUUUGAGGCAACCCCUUCCCUUCCACAGAGUUUAGUUUCCUCAUUUGUAAAAUGAGGACAAACCUAGAUAUUUUUGGAAGUUUCUUCCAGUUCUAAUUGCCUAUGAUCAGAUCACAUCUGUUGCAGAGCUUCCUAAAAAGCCUGGAAAAAUGCAACUCUGCCCCCUGGUGGUUUGCAGCUCUCUAUUCAAGAUGCUAUAAAUCCCUCAUUGGCUUCAAGACCUCCCUACCAUUUUGGUUGCUGUACACUGAAGCCUCACUGGAUUGCAUGGUGGCUUCCCCAAAUUCCGUAUGCCUUAGGAUAUGAUGCUUGGCACACAGUUUUCCUUUAGUGCUCCUUUUAAUAAUUUUAUUAGUAUGGCCACAAGUUUGAUGUCUACAGUACAUGUUAACAUAGCUGAGUACAAAUAUUUGAAAUAAGUGUGGCAAGUUUUAAAAUGUCAACUCUGAGUUAUCAUGCAUGUCCCAUGCAUUUACAUCUGCAUCUGCAAACUGUACAAUUCAAUCUGUGCUUAUCCUCACUGGGUCUCCCUGUGUGCCUCAGCUAGGGCAGGGCAGGGGCUCUUGUGCGUUUUUUCAGACCCAGAUUUUCAAGAGCAACAGUGUUGAACUCUGGCAUGCCAUGGUGCAUGGUGGCAACACCGGGUUUAGCUUUGGUUCAGGUAAAAAUGCAGUGACCAACUAUUGCAUUUGUGUGAGUCACCUGAUUCCCCAGGGCCUGGGCUAGCACAAAGGGUAUUUUGAUAUCCCUGUAUGAGGCCCCUGGCAGUUUCUGAACCCGUUUCGUCCCACCGUGAAAGUCUAGAAGUGAGGUUCGCAGUCUUCUACCAUGCUGUCAGUGAUAUAGCUGGAACCAAGAUGGGAUUCGUAGUAACUCUUUUCAUCAAAGGUAUUAACAGUCCAACCAACAACCUGGAUUCCUUUAGCUGACCACUUCUUCAAGUAGGCCCUGGGGAAAGAGGAAAGCCAAUCCUGUUAGAAUAAUAAGCAGCUGUCUCAGGAAUCCAUAAU